rnacentral:rRNA from 1 species
AGAUUGAACGCUGGCGGCAGGCCUAACACAUGCAAGUCGAGCGGUAGAGAGGUGCUUGCACCUCUUGAGAGCGGCGGACGGGUGAGUAAUGCCUAGGAAUCUGCCUAGUGGUGGGGGAUAACGUUCGGAAACGGACGCUAAUACCGCAUACGUCCUACGGGAGAAAGGCGGGGGACCUUCGGGCCUCGCGCCAUUAGAUGAGCCUAGGUCGGAUUAGCUAGUUGGUGAGUAAUGGCUCACCGAAGGCGACGAUCCGUAACUGGUCUGAGAGGAUGAUCAGUCACACGUGGAACUGAGACCACGGUCCAGUACCUCCGUACGGGAGCAGCGAGGUAGGGGUAAUAGUUGGAACAAGUCGGGACGAAAGCCUAGGACUCCGAGUCCGAGUCGGACCGGU